rnacentral:rRNA from 1 species
UUGAACGCUGGCGGCAGGCCUAACACAUGCCAGUCGCACGGUAACAGGAAGAAGCUUGCUUCUUUGCUGACGAGUGGCGGACGGGUGAGUAAUGUCUGGGAAACUGCCUGAUGGAGGGGGAUAACUACUGGAAACGGUAGCUAAUACCGCAUAACGUCGCAAGACCAAAGAGGGGGACCUUCGGGCCUCUUGCCAUCGGAUGUGCCCAGAUGGGAUUAGCUAGUAGGUGGGGUAACGGCUCACCUAGGCGACGAUCCCUAGCUGGUCUGAGAGGAUGACCAGCCACACUGGAACUGAGACACGGUCCAGACUCCGACGGGAGGCAGCAGUGGGGAAUAUUGCACAAUGGGCGCAAGCCUGAUGCAGCCAUGCCGCGUGUAUGAAGAAGGCCUUCGGGUUGUAAAGUACUUUCAGCGGGGAGGAAGGGAGUAAAGUUAAUACCUUUGCUCAUUGACGUUACCCGCAGAAGAAGCACCGGCUAACUCCGUG